CCUACGGGAGGCAGCAGUAGGGAAUAUUGCCCAAUGGACGAAAGUCUGAGGCAGCAACGCCGCGUGUGCGAUGAAGGCCUUCGGGUUGUAAAGCACUUUUACGUGGGAAGAGGAAGGACGGUACCACGUGAAUAAGGAUCGGCCAACUACGUGCCAGCAGCCGCGGUAACACGUAGGAUUCGAACGUUAUCCGGAAUUACUGGGCGUAAAGCGCGUGCAGGCGGUUUAGUAAGUUGGGUGUUAAAUCUCCGGGCUCAACCCGGAGUCGUCGCCCAAUACUACUAAACUAGAGGACGGUAGAGGGAGGUGGAAUUCCGGGUGUAGCGGUGAAAUGCGUAGAUACCCGGAGGAACACCAGUGGCGAAGGCGGCCUCCUGGGCCGUACCUGACGCUCAGACGCGAAAGCUAGGGGAGCAAACGGGAUUAGAAACCCCGGUAGUCCACGCCGUAAACGAUGAGAACUAGCCGUUGGGGUCCUUGAGACUUUAGUGGCGCAGCUAACGCGAUAAGUUCUCCGCCUGGGGAGUACGGCCGCAAGGUUAAAACUCAAAUGAAUGACGGAAUCGUCGACCCGCCGGUC
rnacentral:rRNA from 1 species